AGUUUGAUCCUGGCUCAGAAUCAACGCUGGCGGCGUGCCUCAGACAUGCAAGUCGAACGAUUAAACUUUCCUUCGGGAAAGAUAUAAAGUGGCGCACGGGUGAGUAACACGUAGGUAAUGUACCUUUGGGUGGGGAAUAACUUAGGGAAACUUAAGCUAAUACCGCAUAAUGCAGCGGCUCCUUCGGGAGACAGUUGUUAAAGAUUUAUCGCCUAAAGAGCAGCCUGCGGCAGAUUAGCUAGUUGGUAAGGUAACGGCUUACCAAGGCUACGAUCUGUAUCCGACCUGAGAGGGUGGUCGGACACACUGACACUGAAUAACGGGUCAGACUCCUACGGGAGGCAGCAGUCGGGAAUUUUGGGCAAUGGGCGAAAGCCUGACGGAGCAAUGCCGCGUGAAGGAUGAAGGCCUAUGGGUUGUAAACUUCUUUUCUCAGAAAAGAAUUAUGACGGUAUCUGAGGAAUAAGCAUCGGCUAACUCUGUGCCAGCAGCCGCGGUAAGACAGAGGA
rnacentral:rRNA from 1 species